rnacentral:lncRNA from 1 species
UUGAAAAGGCAUUUAUGUGACCUUCUUAUUAUAUGUGCCUAAGGAAAAACACAUCCCAUUGAUGUACUUAAGAGGUAUAUAACAAUUAUUCAAAUUUUAGAAUUUUAUAUUUACAAGUGCUACGUGCACAAAAAAAACUUUAUAAGUAUUAAACAUAUAAAACUAAUGUAAGCAGAGCGUUGAGUUUAUAAAUCUUAAAGUGGAAAAUAUCCUAUUUACAUGCAUAAGGUAGAAACUAUGAGUAAGUUUGUUCAUGUCAUGAUUAUAUUUUUCUUCAUAUUUCUUGUUACAACGAGCGUUAACGGUAUGUCUUUUUUUUUUCUUUUCAAAUUUCCAUUUUACUCAAUGCAUAAUAUUUUAUCCAAUUUUAUUAAGAUUCAUUUUUAUUUUUUUCCGUAGCUGCGGUGCGUCAAAAAUGUCGUACUCAACAUGACUGUCCAAAAUACUAUUGCUACCCUCCUAGGAUAAUUAUGUGUGUAUACCGUUUAUGUGAAUGUAUUUGAGAGAUUUCACAUAUGAUAUGAUUACCAGAUCCAAGAGAGGAUAAACACACUCUACUAUAAUAUAUUUCAUGGUUGUACUUUGUAGUUAUGACUUUCAACUUUAAGAAAUGUUAAUGAAAUGUAUCAACACAUUUCAACGAUAUUCAAUCCGUUUUUAUUAUAAAUCAUUCUAUUUUUUAUUAUAAAUAGUUUAAUUUCAUACGUAUAUAAUUACGGUAUAAAUAAACAAAAU